rnacentral:rRNA from 1 species
GACGAACGCUGGCGGCGUGCUUAACACAUGCAAGUCGAACGGAGUCGCCAACGCGUGUGUAACACGUGGGUGAUCUUCCCUCCUUUUUCGGAUAAGCCUUGGUAACGGUGUCUAAUACCUUCUCAAGGGGUAGGGGCUCGCGGCCUAUCAGCUUGUGGGGGGGGUGAUGGCCUACCAAGGCGGUGAGGGUUAUCCGGCCUGAGAGGGUGACCGGCCACAUAGGGACGGGGAUACGGCCCAGACUCCUACGGGAGGCAGCAGUGGGGGAUAUUGCACAAUGGACGAAAGCCUGAUGCAGGGACGCCGCGUGGGGGAUGAAGGCUUUCGGGUUGUAAACCUCUUUAGCUAUCGAACGGGUAGGUGGAGAAGAAGCGCCGGCUAACUACGUGCCAGCAGCCGCGGUAAUAC